rnacentral:rRNA from 1 species
GACGAACCGCCCGAACGUUAUUCGGAAUCACUGGGCUUAAAGGGAGCGUAGGCGGGCUGCCAAGUCCGGGGUGAAAUCCUCCAGCUUAACUGGAGAACUGCCUCGGAUACUGGAAGUCUCGAGGAGGGUAGGGGCAAGUGGAACCGUGGGUGGAGCGGUGAAAUGCGUUGAUAUCCAUGGGAACUCCGGUGGCGAAGGCGACUUGCUGGACCCUUCUGACGCUGAGGCUCGAAAGCCAGGGAGCAACGGG